CCUACGGGAGGCUGCAGUGAGGAAUAUUGGUCAAUGGGCGCUAGCCUGAACCAGCCAAGUAGCGUGAAGGAUGACUGCCCUAUGGGUUGUAAACUUCUUUUAUAUAGGAAUAAAGUGCAGUAUGUAUACUGCUUUGCAUGUACCUUAUGAAUAAGGAUCGGCUAACUCCGUGCCAGCAGCCGCGGUAAUACGGAGGAUUCGAGCGUUAUCCGGAUUUAUUGGGUUUAAAGGGAGCGUAGGUGGGUUGUUAAGUCAGUUGUGAAAGUUUGCGGCUCAACCGUAAAAUUGCAGUUGAUACUGGCAGCCUUGAGUACAGUAGAGGUAGGCGGAAUUCGUGGUGUAGCGGUGAAAUGCUUAGAUAUCACGAAGAACUCCGAUUGCGAAGGCAGCCUGCUGGACUGUAACUGACGCUGAUGCUCGAAAGUGUGGGUAUCAAACAGGAUUAGAUACCCUAGUAGUC
rnacentral:rRNA from 1 species